GACGAACGCUGGCGGCGUGCUUAACACAUGCAAGUCGAACGGAAAGGCCCUGCUUUUGUGGGGUGCUCGAGUGGCGAACGGGUGAGUAACACGUGAGUAACCUGCCCUUGAAUUUGGGAUAAAUUCAGGAAACUGGGGCGAAUACCGGAUAGGAGCUCCUGCUGCGUGGUGGGGGUUGGAAAGUUUCGGCGGUGGGGGAUGGACUCGCGGCUUAUCAGCUUGUUGGUGGGGUAGUGGCUUACCAAGGCUUCGACGGGUAGCCGGCCUGAGAGGGUUACCGGCGACAUGGGGACUGAGAUACGGCGCAGACGCCUACGGGAGGCAGCAGUCGGGAAUAUUGCACAACGGGGGGAAGCCUGAUGCAGAAACGCCGCGUGCGGGAUGACGGCUUUCGGGUUGUAAACCGCUGUCGCAUGUGACGAAGCGUGAGUGACGGUAAUGGGUAAAGAAGCACCGGCUAACUACGUG
rnacentral:rRNA from 1 species